ACAUUUAAAGCUCCGGCGGUUUAAGAUGGGCAUGCGCGACAUUAGCUAGUUGGUGAGGUAACGGCUCACCAAGGCUGUGAUGUCUAGGGGUUCUGAGAGGAAAAUCCCCCACACUGGUACUGAGACACGGACCAGACUCCUACGGGAGGCAGCAGUAAGGAAUAUUGGUCAAUGGGCGCAAGCCUGAACCAGCCAUGCCGCGUGCAGGAUGACGGCCCUAUGGGUUGUAAACUGCUUUUAUACGGGAAAAAACCCUCGAUCGUGUAUCGGGGCUGAUGGUACCGUAAGAAUAAGGAUCGGCUAACUCCGUGCCAGCAGCCGCGGUAAUACGGAGGAUCCAAGCGUUAUCCGGAUUUAUUGGGUUUAAAGGGUGCGCAGGCGGAAUAAUAAGUCAGUGGUGAAAUCCUGCAGCUUAACUGCAGAACUGCCAUUGAUACUGUUAUUCUUGAGUAUAUUUGAAGUGGGCGGAAUGUGUCAUGUAGCGGUGAAAUGCUUAGAUAUGACACAGAACACCAAUUGCGAAGGCAGCUCACUAAGCUAUAACUGACGCUCAUGCACGAAAGCGUGGGGAUCAAACAGGAUUAGAUACCCUGGUAGUCCACGCUGUAAACGAUGAUUACUCGAUGUUGGCGAUACACAGUCAGCGUCUAAGCGAAAGCAAUAA
rnacentral:rRNA from 1 species